GGGGAAUAUUGCACAAUGGGCGCAAGCCUGAUGCAGCGACGCCGCGUGGGGGAUGACGGCCUUCGGGUUGUAAACUCCUUUCGCUAGGGACGAAGCUUUUUGUGACGGUACCUAGAUAAGAAGCACCGGCUAACUACGUGCCAGCAGCCGCGGUAAUACGUAGGGUGCGAGCGUUGUCCGGAAUUACUGGGCGUAAAGGGCUCGUAGGUGGUUUGUCGCGUCGUCUGUGAAAUUCCGAGGCUUAACUCCGGGCGUGCAGGCGAUACGGGCAUAACUUAAGUACUGUAGGGGUAACUGGAAUUCCUGGUGUAGCGGUGAAAUGCGCAGAUAUCAGGAGGAACACCGAUGGCGAAGGCAGGUUACUGGGCAGUUACUGACGCUGAGGAGCGAAAGCAUGGGUAGCGAACAGGAUUAGAUACCCUGGUAGUCCAUGCCGUAAACGGUGGGCGCUAGGUGUGAGGGUCUUUUCACGACUUUCGUGCCGUAGCUAACGCAUUAAGCGCCCCGCCUGGGGAGUACGGCCGCAAGGCUA
rnacentral:rRNA from 1 species